rnacentral:rRNA from 1 species
AUUGAACGCUGGCGGCAUGCCUUACACAUGCAAGUCGAACGGCAGCGGGGGCUUCGGUCCGCCGGCGAGUGGCGAACGGGUGAGUAAUGUAUCGGAACGUACCUUUCAGUGGGGGAUAACGUAGCGAAAGUUGCGCUAAUACCGCAUAUUCUGUGAGCAGGAAAGCAGGGGAUCGCAAGACCUUGCGCUGAUGGAGCGGCCGAUAUCAGAUUAGCUAGUUGGUGGGGUAAAGGCCUACCAAGGCUACGAUCCGUAGCGGGUCUGAGAGGAUGAUCCGCCACACUGGGACUGAGACACGGCCCAGACUCCUACGGGAGGCAGCAGUGGGGAAUUCUGGACAAUGGGGGCAACCCUGAUCCAGCCAUGCCGCGUGAGUGAAGAAGGCCUUCGGGUUGUAAAGUACUUUCAGCGGGGAGGAAGGGAGUAAAGUUAAUACCUUUACUCAUUGACGUUACCCGCAGAAGAAGCACCGGCUAACUACGUGCCAGCAGCCGCCGUAA